rnacentral:rRNA from 1 species
GACGGAGGAUGCAAGCGUUAUCUGGAAUGAUUGGGCGUAAAGCGUUCGCAGGUGGCUGUUCAAGUCUGCUGUCAAAGACCGGGGCUUAACCCCAGAAAGGCAGUGGAAACUGAACGGCUGGAGUGCAGAUCGGGUAGAGGGAAUUCCCUGUGUAGCGGUGAAAUGAGUAGAGAUUGGGAAGAACACCGGUGGCGAAAGCGCUCUGCUGGACUGCAACUGACACUGAGGGAAGAAAGCUAGGGGAGCGAAAGGG